UGUAAAUCUAUCCCCAUCUCACUAAUGGUCAACGGUGUAAAAUGUGUUUUCUGCUCAUUAAAAGAAAAACUGAGCUGAUUUUUCCUCACCAGCUGCCUCUGAAACACACUUGGACGCCAGAUUACAAACUUGCUGGCAUAUAGUUGCUACUACUACUACUAAUUAUUAUUAUUAUUGUUAUUAUUAGUGAAAUCAGGGGCAGCAGUGUGUAGCUAUUAACUAGCCUAUAUACUCACUUAUAUUAUAACUAGCUGAGGCCUGGUUCUCAGCUAGUUAUAGGUUUAAAUUAGCCAGAUAUUUAGGCAACACCAUACCACAGCUUUCUUUCUUCAUAUUCUGGUAUACACCCAGCUGUAAAAAAAAAUAAUAAAAAAAAUAAAUGCGUUCUGACUGCCAUCUGACCAAAGCUAGACAAAUCUAUAGGCUAUGUAAUGUGAUACAUGGAUAACAUGAACUAGGCUAUAAAUAUACAGUGCUGUGAAAAAGUAUUUCCUGAUUUCUUCUGUUUUUGUGUAUAUCUCAUACUAAAUAGUUUUAGAUCUUCCUAACGAAAUACAACAUAAAACAGUGGCAACCUGAUACAGUCGAUAACACAUGAUACAGUCUUUAUUUGUUUAUUUAUUUUUAUUGAAGCAAAAAAAAAAAUGUUAUCUAACACCUAUCACCAAUGUGGAAAAACUAAUUGGCCCCUUAAACUUAAAAUCUGGUCGUGCCACCUUUAGCAGCAAUAACUGCAAACAAACGCUUCCGAUAACUGGAGAUCAGUCUUUCACUUACUUCUAGGACUAGGAUUUACUCCUAUGCUUUGGAUCAUGGUCUUGCUGCAUAAUCCAGUUGUGCUUCAGUUUCAAUUUACGGACUGAAGACCGGGCAUUCUCCUUUAGGAUUUUCUGGUAGAGAGCAGAAUUCAUGUUUCCCUCAAUUAUUGCAAGUUGGCCAGGCUCUGAAGCAGAAAAGCAUCCCCACACCAUCACACUUCCACCACCAUGCUUGGCCAUAGGUAUGAUGUUCAUUUUUGUGGAAUUUUGUGUUCAGUUUAUGCCAGAUGUAAAGGGACACCUGUUUUCCAAACAGUUCACUUUUUACUCAUCAGUCCACAGAACAUUCUCCCAAAAUGCUUUUGGCAAUUUUGGCAAAAUUCAGACGAGCUUUUAUGCUCUUCUGAGUUAGCAGUGGUUUUCACCUCGACACACUUUCAUGGAUGCCAUUUUUGCCCAGUGUCUUUUGAUAGUGGAGUCAUAAACAGUGACCUUUUUUGAUGCAAGAGAGGCCUGUAGGUCCUUUGAUGUUGUCCUUGGCUCUUUUGUGACUUCCUGGAUGAGUCGUUGCUGUGCGCUUGGAGGAAUUUUGGAAGGUCGGCCACUUCUGGGAAGAUUCACUACUAUGUGGAGUUUUUCCAUUUGGAGAUAAUGUCUCUCACUGUGGUUCUUUGGAGUCCUGGAGCCUUUGAAAUAGCUUUGUAACCCUUCCCAGACUGAUGUUUUUCAAUCUCUUUCUUCCUCAUCAUUUCUGGAACUUCUUUCAACAUUGGCAUAGUGUAUUACUGAGUAAGACCUUUUAACCAAUUUCAUGCUGUUGAAAAAGUUCUAUUUAAGUGUUGAUUUGAUUGAAGAGGGCUGGAAGUAAACAAGCCUGGUUGCGUCUAGUCCAGCUGAACCCCAUUUUAUUAUUGAAUUAGUAACUGCUGGAGCAAAUACAUUUUUACACAGGCCUAGUUGGUACUGGACAACUUUUUUGCUUCAGUAAAUAACAUUAUCAUUUAAAAACUGUAUUUUGUCUUUACUCGGGUUGUCUUUGUUUUAUCUUAGAUUUUGAUUUAAUUUCUGAAACAAUUUAGUAUGAGAUAUACACAAAAACAGAGUAAAUCACUGUAGCCUAUUAUCCAUACAUUAAUGCAAUACAACUAAGACUUCUGAUAUUACAGUUAAUAUGUAUUCUGUUUCUGUUUUUAAGUGAUAUACAAAGGCAAUGUGUGUACACAGUAUCACUUUUUAUACUAGUUAGAUUUGUCCCCCAUGCAUUGUUGCUAAGAAAAAAAAAAGUAUACAAAUUUCUUAAGCGUUGUCAUAAAUAGUCAGAAUUAAAUACUAAUCAGAAAUAGAAAUGCAUAAAUGACUACUUCAUGGUACAUUAUUAUCCUAUGGACUACGUAUAUUCAUGAAUAUGUACUAUGUGUACAUCCAUACCUCAAAGCUUAGAUAUUUAUUUGGAUGUAUUUUAUAGCAAAAAUGCUACAAAUUUCUUUUUAAAUUAAAUGUCACCAAAUUUACUAACAGCCAAUUGUCUUUCUAAUAAAAGAAACAUGUGGAUUCUUAUUCAUACCUCUUUUUGUUUUCCAUCACUUCUUAUAAUCUUUUAAUUAUUCACUUUAAGAGGAAGGUUUCGAGGAUACAACAUUAAGGCCACAUUUUAGGUGUGCAUGCUUAUUUUUUUUAUAUAGUGUGUAUUAUAUAGUGCCCAGCACCUCCUGUCUGUAAUGUUUCUAUCUAUGAUGAACACUAUUACAUUUUUUCAAAAUUAUAUGAAACUAUGAAUCACAAUAUAUUUAUAUGAAACUAUGAAUCAAAAUAUAUUAAAUGAAACUAUGAAUCAGAAUAUAUUCUUGACUACCUUACAAAAUCAGUCAUAGAGUAACACUAAUUUUGAUGACCUUAAACUGUGACCAGGCUGUUCGUGCAUGGCAUGAGCCGUUUACGAGAGAUGCCCAUUAUAAGAGCACAUCCAAAUUUUUCCUCUUGGUUAUACUGUGGCAUGGACAGUGUUUGACAUAGCUGAGAGCUGCACACGAGCAUGAAUAGUAAGAUUUACUUGAGUAGGACUAAGUGGUGAGUGUUUGGGGGCUGCCCAAAGUUAGUCACAAUUUAUUAAAUGAAAUCACAGCCAAAACAUACAAAGCAGUGUUCUGUGACAUAUAUUUCAUAUAACCAUGGAGGUCUAGAAGUCCACUACUAUAACUGCAGUUGAUUCUCUUUAAGAAUGAAAAUGAAAUAAGAAUAAAAGUCUGACAACAAGCUUUAUUCACUUCUAUGAAAACUGACACUGCAUAUUUCUGACAUUUACGAUACACAACAUGCAAAUGUCUAAAGAGGCCUGUACCAAACUACAGUGACCUUGGAGCUACAAUGCCUUUGGACCUCUGCUUGUAUCUUUGAAAGGUCAAAAUAAAUUGCUUCAUAACAUAAUCUAUAAUUCACAUACUCAAGCUGUAAGUGAGAUGCUAACUACCUCAAUCUAAUUGGCCAUUUUACACUCAAACACUCCUCACACUACAAUAAAAUGACUCUCAGUACAUGUUUGCAGCACUGUUAUUUACAUGUCGCUAAGGCAUUUACAUAAAAAAUCCAUGAGGCUGUUCGAAUGCCUCUUCUUGUACGUAGUGAAUAGAUGAGGGCUAUGUACCUAUAUGACCUGUCAAACAAGGUCAGCAUGGAAAUGCCCUAAUAAUAGUUUCUUGUACACUUUUUUGGUAGUGUCCAUUCCUUCUCAAUUUGAUACAACAACAACAACAACAACAACCAUUAAUUCAGACCACCAGCAAAAAUGUGGUGUAAAUUCCACCACAUGCUUAGCAUUAUUCAUUGUAAUAGAUAUUCAGAUCUGUAUGGCUGUCACUUCUGAGAUGUCAUUUUCAUCAUCGACUCAGAGAACGUCAUUACAGCUGUGUUUGAAGGCCAUCUGAAAAUGAGAAGGUGGAUCUAAACAAUAGCUGUUUUGUAUAUCACUGCUAAAGAACAGGGUUGGGGUUGGAAAUAUACAGGAAAAAUAGCGACCUACAUAACUAGCUAUAAAAAUGAGUUUUAGAACAUUUGCUAUACGCCAGCCAUUAUUGUUGCAAUUUGCCAGAAUUCUUAUGAACCAAGUACAUUUGGUAGAUAAAAAAACAUUUCUGAUUUUGAUGCAUUGUUACUGUGCCUUUGUAUCCAGUAUCUUUAUAUUUAAACAAGGUUUAAACCUUCACAGACCUAUCUGAAGAUAAUAAUUAAGGUAAUAAUGCUUCUGCAGCAUUGUACACUAUACCUUUGCUCUCUCACCCCCAGAAACGCUGCCAAGUCUGCUGCACGUCAAGUGAACUUUCGUGCACCCCGUCACUUGUCAGACACCGCUUUAUUGUGUAAGAAUAGGCGUAGUUGUAAGGGGCAAGCAUGUGUGUGUAUAUGUGUGUGUGGAAGAGAGAGAGAGAGAGAGAGAGUGAGAAAGAGUGAGAGAAAAGGUUUUGUUCUCAUUGAGGAGGCUCAGCCAUCUCCCCUCCCUGGACUAAAGUUGUCUGUAGCAGCUGCACCCCUGUGAUCUCCCCUAAACAGUGUGGGAGGGGGCAAGUGUGGGUACACGUCACCCCCCCACACACCCUCCCCUUUUAUAGAGGCCAAAGCUGCACACUUAAGCGACAACAUCCAUCAAAAGCCAAUAGAAGCCUGCAGGUCAAGCCUGAGAACACAACAGCGACCUCUGACCCCUGUUAAGUGAGCUGGCCUAACAAGACAUGACCGCUGACUCACGCUGGUUUAUUUGGUUUAUUUCACCAAUUAGAGUCCUGCAGGGGGGAGAGAUUGCAAAUGUGACAGCCUUCUGAUUGCAUGACAUGAACAAAAAAGCCUUUAUAAGCAUUUAAAAUAUGUUCAAGCUUGUAGUGAGACUCCUUGAUUACAUAGCCUCAAGCAACAAAUGCAUCUUAAAUAGUUAUCAGUGUCUGAGUGACAUUCUUCUCUAUAUUUUUAAAAUCUAAUGCAGAAUUUUGUAAAGACAUCACAAUGCUCCUCAAAUCCCCAAACUUUCAAGCUACAACUGCCUUGAGAUCUUUUUUUUCACCACCAAGUUGUCAUUAAAAUCAGCACAGUCAUCUUGUCAUUAAAAUACAAGUACAAGUACAAAACUACAAGUAGCCUAGUAAGCUACAACCUUCUUUCAUAAAGUUACCGAGGUUCAAAGCAGAAGGAUUGAGUACCUUCGUACACUGUUGAUGUUCACAGUAGGCUAACAUUUAGCCGAUACACAGCUAAUCACACAUGCUCUGUCAAAAAAAGGUGUUGUAGAGACAUAAUUUGUUGCCCAAAAUGCUAACACAGUUCCUUAUAGUCUAAUUAUCUACCUCUACAAUUUCAUUGUACUAAAGGGUGCAAGAAACCUCAAAUAGCCUGCGCACAAUCGUGACAGGAGGACAGUCGUAACAUGGUAACUAGCUUCUUCCUGUCACUGUGCACAUGCUUGAUAUUGUCCUUUUUGAGUGUGAUAAAUUUCAACCACAUGCACCUGACCUCUAUUAUGUUCUGGAUAGCUCCUUGUAUCUACUUGACCUUGAAAUUACACAUGUUAUUGUGAUCAUUGGACUGUCUUCUAAAAAAAAACCCAAACAUGACAGUGUGUACAAUUUGACAUUUUUGUAGCUGCUGUUUUUACUGUUAGUGUGUUAAAUACAAAAAAACAAACUUGUGCAUUGUGUAUAGCUUUGAAAGACACAGGACUCUUGCACUUGGUGAUCAAUUUCAAAAACGGAUUGAUGGCCUCUAACAGCUCAGAGGAAUAUUAAAAGAAGGGCACAAAUACAUGGCAGAAUUUAACUUCAGUUCUUAUAUCAUAUACUUGUUUACAGGCUUAGAAAUAUUUGUUACUGUUCCUGAAAUGAAGAUUGUAAAUGGUAAGCACUGUACACUUUGUGUUUACAUACGUACAUGUCAUGGAAAUUAUUCACUACGUCGAUACGUGUUGUUGGUAGAACCAAGAGAGAAAUAUUGAGUUUUAAAGAGUGAUAUAAUUAUUCCUACCUUUGUACCAUGAAAUGUAACGGUUCAUAAGUAUACACACACACACACACACACACACACACACACACACACACCAAGCUGAAAGCACAAUCUGAAAUGUUCUGCAAAAUAUAAUAAAGGUCUGUGCAUGUUUUUAUUCUGGGAUAUUAAUGUUUAAAAUGUCUUAGGUUGCAUGUACAUCAGUCAAGUCCAGAAUAAGCUCUUCAACUGUUUGGAUGCAGCACUAAACAUCCUUUUUUUUUUUCAAAAAAUUUUUUUAUCUGGGAAUUCAUUAAUGUUACACACAGUCGAUCUGAGAUGCUGAUGAACGAGCCCGUGCCUGCUUGCUCUCUCGCUCUCUCUCUCUCUCUCCCUCCACCGCCACCGCUACGAACUCAAACCCAACCGGAUGUCCCGCCCUCCCGAGCUCUACCUCGAUGAUGUAAGCCCCCCCUCCGUCCAAAUUUAGCACGUUGUUGAUGCCUCAGAAGUUUUUCCUCUGGCUGAGAGCGCUGUCCGUUACACGACGUCACCACUAUCCUGUUAUUAUUGUAAACAGUCUAGCCGUUUCUUUACCGAAGCCCCUCCACUGAGCGAAAAAUCGCCCCGCUUCUUUGUUCGCAAAGUCAGCCGGUAGAGAUGUUUUUUUUUAAAGCGAACUACACGGACUAUUUUAUUAGCCUAAUAAACCGCCAUUGGUAAUACAGAGGUUUGCAAACGAGCAACAUGUGUGAAAAAUGUGUAUUUCGAGAUUGUCGCCAGAGUAACCUAGUGCUGUUGUCCUCAGUUUGAAUGUGAGCUCUGAUUAAAGAAAAAAAAAAAAGAAAAAACCGGCACUUCGGUUUCGCACAGAAAAAAAAGCUUCCGCCGGUGACUGAAUACAAAAAGCGCACGGAUUUAAACACUCAAUGACAAAAUAAUAAUAAUAAUAACAAUGAAAUUGAGACUUACAGCAUUAACACCAGGGACUUCAUUUUCUCAAUCCUUUUGUGUCAGAGCGUAGCCUAUAACCUGCCACCAAACCCGAAUAAGCAAUAUUACUUUGGGGGAAAUAGCGCCAUUCUUCUUCUUCUUCUAUUUGUUUGUGGUUUUUUGUGUGUGUUUUAAAAAAAAUAUAUAUUAUUAUUACACCCAACAACUGUAAUGCACUCGCGCUCUCGUUGUUUACCUCCCCCGCUCCUGGAGGAAUUUUGAUAAGCUAGAUAAUGAGCCGUCGGUUUUACCCGGGAAACAACGCUGCAACUUUCAUCCUCAAACAUGAAGCCAGUGCAUGAAAACACACCUAUAUGUACAGUAGAUUUGUAAGGAAGCCCUACAACAAAGCGCGCUGGGUCGCGUUGCUCUAAUUCGAGACAAACGCGCAGCUACACUGAUAUACAGGCUGUGGAUAGAGGAGGAGAAAGGGGGGGGGGGGAAGGUUUGCGAUUGAAUAAUGAUACUUACUUCAGCGGUGGAUAGCAGCGCUAUAGGAUUCCCAUCACAUCGUAAUGUGCACAGGAGAGCACAUCAAAAUCACAAAUAAUAUUCCAGCAAACUGGCACACACCGGGCUCCGGUUAGCGCGCGCCAGUCGAGGCGGCUGUAUCUCUCUCUCUCUCUCUCUCUCUCUCCUUUACUCUCUCACUCUCUCUCUCUCUCUGUCUCUCUCUCUCUCUCUCUCUCUCUCUCUCUUUUUUUGCAAUUAUACGCCAAGCUUCAAGGAAGUUGUCCUUUUGUUCCAGCAUUUAUACAUUGCGUCAAUGUUGCGAAAAGAGGAGGCGGAGCGGUGGCACUUGGAGUAAAGAGAGAGAGAGAGAGAGAGAGAGAGAGAGAGAAUAAAACACACAAGCACACGACCUUAUGUACACAAACCCAGAAAUCCUCCACCCUAACAAAACCGGCGGAUCAGCUCGGGUCACGUGCUCCGGCGCUCGCACCAUGGUCUACGGCAAAGUUAGCGCGGAGGAGCAAAAAAAGCUCGCCCCUUUUUCCACUCGGUUUCGUGUAUACGGCUCACGGGAAGUGGGUAGACCAAGUGGCCCGGCAAUUCUUCACCAAUUCGCUCCGUGAUGGAAAAACUGAACGUGGUGAAAACGAGUGCGUGCGCGCGCGCGUGCGUGCGUAAGUGUGUGUGUGUGUGUGUGUGUGUGUGUGUGAGAGAGAGAGAGAGAGAGAGAGAGAGAGCGCGAGCCGGUGUGUGUUGGCUGUCAGCACAGAGCGCGCGCACCCUGCCGUAGCAAAACCGAUGGUUCAAUGCGCGGAGAGAAAACGCUUCCUCCGUUUUCAUGAUGUCUGUAUUUGCUGUUUGAAGUAGUAGAGAAUGUAGGCUAUUAAAUGCUACUCAUUGGGUUGCCCUAUAGCUCGCUAUUACAGCCGAGUUGCAUCACGAAGUUUGCUUACCGGCUCUGCUGUCAAUCAUUUUUUUCUGGCUUCACGCGACGACCAAUAAACGCUGCUGCUUGUCCUUCAGCAUGGGUCCCUGGUGGUGCAGGCCUAUAAAACCCACACAGCCCAUCUCUGUAGAGGUCAUCUGAGCUUUGGUGUCACCUGUCAGUCGAUGUAGGUGUAUCUGUUCCCUAACACCCAGGGGACGACAAGUCCAUUAAUGCCUUAUUGUGUGCAUGUAUAAGGUAAACAAAACCCGUACACCCUGGAAAGAGUAUGAACUUCCAUAUUCCAGGCUACAUGUCCGCAUCAACAAGUAAUUUUUUUAUGCUGUUUUAGACAAGCUGAUACCAAUGUUAGGAAUGAGUUGGACGCAUGAGCAGAUAAAUAGCUCAUAGGCUACUCUCGGAAAUAAAGAUACCUAACUGCACUUUUCCUUGUUGAAGGAACGGUACAUCAGCCGUAC
ensembl:lncRNA